UACAGAGGGGCCAGCGUUAUUCGGAAUUAUUGGGCGUAAAGGGCGCGUAGGCGGCUUUGCGUGUCUUUCGUGAAAUCCCUCGGCUCAACUGAGGACGUGCGGAAGAAACUGCAGGGCUGGAGUCCGGGAGAGGAGGGUGGAAUUCCAGUGUAGCGGUGAAAUGCGUAGAUAUUGGGAGGAACACCGGUGGCGAAGGCGGCCCUCUGGACCGGUACUGACGCUGAUGCGCGAAAGCG
rnacentral:rRNA from 1 species